GGAGGGUUUAUUGUAGGCUACUUACAGUAACGAGUGUAGCGUUAGUUCAUCUGCACCAGCGGCAGUAAAUAAUGUAUAAUCUGUAUCGAAGUAGCGCAGUAGCUGG